rnacentral:lncRNA from 1 species
GACUGCCUGAGAUGACUGCUUGAGAUGACUGCCUGAGAUGACUGCCUGAGAUGAUUGUCAAUUUUACAUCCUGUGGACAAGUGCUGCAAGGCCAACGCCAUCCAGAAUAUUGAGUCCUAAUAAUUUUGUUCUAUUAUUGCUAGCCAAGGAACUGCCAACGAUGACCUUCUCGGAGCAGAACAAAAGCUAAAUCGGAGGCAUGUCAUUUAGUGUUAUCAUUUAACUGGACUUUGUGAGAGUUUUCUUGCAAAAUGUUUGCCAAGGUGGCGAUCGAAGGUGGACAGCAAGAUCGAAGCUCAGCAAGAUUGAAGAUUGUUCGAGGAAGAAGGAGUUCGCCGUUGACUAAAAGGUUUAUCUGAACAGCUAGUUGUCAAGAUGAACGUGAAGAGAAAAAAGAUGAAAUAGAAGACUCGCCCGGCCAAAUUCAAAAUGGCGAUGCCAAAGAAAACCAUGCACGUGGACCGUU